GGAUGUGCAGCUCAGUGGUAGAGCACUUGCUUAGUACAUAAAAGGCCCUGGGUUCAAUUCCCAGUAGCAUCCC
rnacentral:tRNA from 1 species